UAGUGUAGAUGGAGCCCAUGGGGGAGCUCACCCACCCCAUAGUUCCUCGUUUAGUCUGUUCUCCUGUGGGCUCUGACCACGUCCUGUUUUGUUCUACCCCAGGCAGCGACAGUGCCCAGGGCUCUGAUGUGUUUCUCACAGAUCCUAAAGUGUGAGACAGCUGCCUUGUGGGGGACUGAGUGAUGCAAGAUUUGUUCACGCUCCCGCUUUGUGGCUCCAGGAUCCCCUGACUUCUCUUUCUGCAACUGGCAUACGAAUGUGUCUGCUUCUAUUAGC